GGACAAUUUCAUUCAAUUUUUAUUCAAACUUUAUUUUACACAAUAGGUCAUGUCAUGCACCAAAUAAUUAUGUCAUAGACACUAUACAAUUCUCACACUUCUAGGCCCUUACACUCUUUAUGUCAAAAACCUUUCUUGCAUCUAUUGUACUUAAUGCAUCAACACUUGUAGCACACAUGUUGGUCUAAUUAUGCGCCCGCACCAACGGCGAGGCAAGCGGGGAAUGAGGUGACAUCCGAUGAGGAGUCAACAUAUCGUCAAGCCUUCGUGAUGAUAACCUGAAAUGUUGAUUGUUUUGCCAACAAGGUCGCAUGGUCUUGAUCUCGAGCAUCUUGUUCU
rnacentral:lncRNA from 1 species